rnacentral:sRNA from 1 species
CACAAUUAGAACUCCGGAUAAAAAUAGCUUUUGUCUAAAUGUGGAAAGUGUAUAAAUAUAGUGGCCGGUUUCAAUUUACUAUGCAAGCUCUCAAGUUAGUGCCACUUGUUACAG